GCGCCCUGUGAUUAUGAAAAGACGCGUUAUUCUGAGGGGGAAAUCCCACUGCCAGUUCUCUCUGAAACCUAAAUCUUUUUUCAUCCCUUUUCUCAAUUCCCCCUCUUCUCUUUCCUCCCCUUCUUCUACUUCACCUCUGCUCUGGCAAUGGGUCCGCUGAACGUGAUUAUGAGAUAUGAGGGCAC